AUUGAACGCUGGCUGCAGGCCUAACACAUGCAAGUCGAGCGGAGCGGCGGACCGGUGAGUAAUGCCUAGGAAUCUGCCUGGUAGUGGGGGAUAACGUCCAGAAACGGGCGCUAAUACCGCAUACUAUCAGAUGAGCCUAGGUCGGAUUAGCUAGUUGUGGGGGUAAAGGCCUACCAAGGCCACGAUCCGUAACUGGGCUGAGAGGAUGAUCAGUCACCCCACAACUGAGAGAAGGUUCAUACCACUUCGUGAGGCGAGAGUGGGGAAUGUUGGACAAGGUGAGAAGAACUGAUCCUAACAUGCCGCGUGUGUGAAGGGGGUCGUCGGAGUGUCAAGCACUUUAAGUUGGGGGUAGUUACCAUAGGAAUAAGGACCGGCUAACUUCGUGCCAGCAGCCGCGGUAAUAC
rnacentral:rRNA from 1 species